CAAUAACCUCUCAAAAAAAGACGAAUCACAAAUGAUCACUUCUCUUUUUGUCUAAUCUUACAAAAAAACUUCAAAACAAAUAUACCAAACAAUCAACUCAACUAAAACUCAACGAUACAUACAUUGACCCAGCUAAACAAAUACAAACUACACGGCCAACUAUUUAACAAUUUACAAACUUACUUUCACAAAUGCUUACGAAGACGACAACAAGAUCAAUGAAAUUACCUAAACAAAAAAACAGAGUAAGUUACAAACUCUAAUAAAGACAACUAACAAUAAUUUUUGUUUACAUAUUACAACCACACAAGGAGAUACAAGAGACAAUCCCAACAUACACAAAGGCGACAACAACAUCUCCACCUACUCACUCCUCUUGUCUUAUGAAAAUAACUUACAUGCUCAAUAUCAACAUGCCAAUGCUAUUAUCUUUUUAUGAGAAAUGCAUAUAUUCAUUUAAAAUCCAUUAAAGCUCAAAUACUAAUUGUCACUCAUUUUAUAGUUAUUUUUACAGGUCUUCAUGUAUUUAUUUUAAAGAUCCGGUAAAAACAACAAGUUUAAAAAAUAAAAUAAAAACAUAUAACCAGCAUAAUAAGAAUAAAAAAAUUAUUACUUAAUACACACAACUAAACUGGAGAAAAAAAUAUCCAGAAACAAAAGGUACUCUCAACAACCUUAAUAUAAUUUAUGUAAUCUCAACAGUACAAGUAACAAAUUAAAAAGACAAACAAACAAUAAGUCUCAGUGACACAUCAAACAACACCACGAACUAUAUCAAUCACAUUACUAACACAGUUUAGUCUUUCAUGAGUAGAGAACAGUGCAUACGCAUUUCAUCAUCACAACUCUAACCCUAUAACAAUAAAAAACUUGAAAAACAAUGAUCAACCCAAAACGCAAAAUUCACAGUUACAAUCCCUAACAAAUAUUGAGAUGAAACAAAAAGUAUGUCCACAACUCCGCGCUUGCG
rnacentral:lncRNA from 1 species